rnacentral:rRNA from 1 species
GGACUACAAGGGUAUCUAAUCCCGUUUGCUCCCCUAGCUUUCGCGCCUCAGCGUCAGUAUCGGGCCAGGUGUGCGCCUUCGCCACCGGUGUUCCUCCUGAUAUCUACGCAUUUCACCGCUACACCAGGAAUUCCCACACCCUCUCCCGUACUCAAGCCAAGCAGUAUGAGACGCAGGUCCCCGGGUAAGCCGGGGCAUUUCACGUCUCACUUACCUGACCGCCUACACGCCCUUUACGCCCAGUGAUUCCGAACAACGCUUGCUCCCCCCGUGUUACCGCGGCUGCUGGCAC